CCUACGGGUGGCAGCAGUGAGGAAUAUUGGUCAAUGGGAGAGAUCCUGAACCAGCCAAGCCGCGUGAGGGAAGACGGCCCUAUGGGUUGUAAACCUCUUUUGUCGGAGAACAAAACCCGGGACGUGUCCCGGACUGCGUGUAUCCGAAGAAAAAGCAUCGGCUAACUCCGUGCCAGCAGCCGCGGUAAUACGGAGGAUGUGAGCGUUAUCCGGUUUUAUUGGGUUUAAAGGGUGCGUAGGCGGUCCGUUAAGUCAGCGGGAAAAUUGGGGGGCUCAACCCCGUCGAGCCGUUGAAACUGGGAGACUUGAGUUGGGGAGAGGUACGCGGAAUGCGCGGUGUAGCGGUGAAAUGCAUAGAUAUCACGCAGAACUCCGAUUGCGAAGGCAGCGUACCGGCGACAGACUGACGCUGAGGCACGAAAGCGUGGGGAUCGAACAGGAUUAGAUACCCGUGUAGUC
rnacentral:rRNA from 1 species